AUUGAACGCUGGCGGCAGGCCUAACACAUGCAAGUCGAACGGUAACAGGAAGAAGCUUGCUUCUUUGCUGACGAGUGGCGGACGGGUGAGUAAUGUCUGGGAAACUGCCUGAUGGAGGGGGAUAACUACUGGAAACGGUAGCUAAUACCGCAUAACGUCGCAAGACCAAAGAGGGGGACCUUCGGGCCUCUUGCCAUCGGAUGUGCCCAGAUGGGAUUAGCUAGUAGGUGGGGUAACGGCUCACCUAGGCGACGAUCCCUAGCUGGUCUGAGAGGAUGACCAGCCACACUGGAACUGAGACACGGUCCAGACUCCUACGGGAGGCAGCAGUGGGGAAUAUUGCACAAUGGGCGAAAGCCUGAUGCAGCCAUGCCGCGUGUAUGAAGAAGGCCUUCGGGUUGUAAAGUACUUUCAGCGGGGAGGAAGGGAGUAAAGUUAAUACCUUGGCUCAUUGACGUUACCCGCAGAAGAAGCACCGGCUAACUCCGUG
rnacentral:rRNA from 1 species